UUUACCUGCGACUCAGUUGGAGUAACACCCAGCAACCAACAUUUCCCUCUGUAGUAAAGUGCAGCCCCAUCACACUUUACAAGGUCCAUGAUAUUAGGGGAUUGUGUCACAAUACCAAACGGGGCAUCACGGAGAAGCAUAUCACAAAGUAAGGUUUGAGCCCUUAGAAUCUUCUUCUCAGUUAGUUGUGAUGCUAAUUGAAGUUCCAUGUAUAGCUGCAGUCCAAAUGCCUGCAUGAGAAAUUCACAGGCAUAACGAAGGGGGAAUGGCACAUAGCGCGGCGAAGUAUGAUGACAGACAACCAGUCCCCAAAGCUUUGUUGAAUCGUUACCAUUUAUAACAACUGCCAUCACUAACGAGGCAAU
rnacentral:lncRNA from 1 species